rnacentral:rRNA from 1 species
UACGUAGGGGGCUAGCGUUGUCCGGAUUUAUUGGGCGUAAAGAGCUUGUAGGCGGUUUGUCGCGUCUGCUGUGAAAUUUCGGGGCUCAACCCCGAACUUGCAGUGGGUACGGGCAGACUAGAGUGUGGUAGGGGAGACUGGAAUUCCUGGUGUAGCGGUGAAAUGCGCAGAUAUCAGGAAGAACACCCGUGGCUAAGGCGGCUCUCUAGUACGGUACUGACGCUGAGACGCGAAAGCGUGGGGAGCGAACAGG